rnacentral:rRNA from 1 species
UCUGCAACCCGACUACAUGAAGCUGGAAUCGCUAGUAAUCGCGGAUCAGAAUGCCGCGGUGAAUACGUUCCCGGGUCUUGUACACACCGCCCGUCACACCAUGGGAGUCGGAAAUGCCCGAAGUCUGUGACCCAACCUUAGGGAGGGAGCAGCCGAAGGCAGGUCGGAUGACUGGGGUGAAGUCGUAACAAGGUACC